CCUACGGGAGGCAGCAGUGGGGAAUUUUGGACAAUGGGGGCAACCCUGAUCCAGCCAUGCCGCGUGUGUGAAGAAGGCCUUCGGGUUGUAAAGCACUUUCGGCCGGAACGAAAUCGUCCCCGCCAAUACCGGGGAUGGAUGACGGUACCGGAAGAAGAAGCACCGGCUAACUACGUGCCAGCAGCCGCGGUAAUACGUAGGGUGCGAGCGUUAAUCGGAAUUACUGGGCGUAAAGCGUGCGCAGGCGGCGCCGCAAGUCAGGCGUGAAAUCCCCGAGCUUAACUUGGGAAUGGCGCUUGAAACUACGGUGCUGGAGUGUGGCAGAGGGAGGUGGAAUUCCACGUGUAGCGGUGAAAUGCGUAGAGAUGUGGAGGAACACCGAUGGCGAAGGCAGCCUCCUGGGCCAACACUGACGCUCAUGCACGAAAGCGUGGGGAGCAAACAGGAUUAGAUACCCUGGUAGUCCACGCCCUAAACGAUGAUGACUAGUUGUUGGGGGAGUUAAAUCCCUUAGUAACGCAGCUAACGCGUGAAGUCAUCCGCCUGGGGAGUACGGUCGCAAGAUUAAAACUCAAAGGAAUUGACGG
rnacentral:rRNA from 1 species